UACCAGCACCCCGAGUGGUCGGGACGUUUAUUGGGCCUAAAGCAUCCGUAGCCGGUUCUACAAGUCUUCCGUCAAAUCCAGCUGCUUAACAGAUGGGCUGCGGAAGAUACUAUGGAGCUAGGAGGCGGGAGAGGCAAGCGGUACUCGAUGGGUAGGGGUAAAAUCCGUUGAUCCAUUGAAGACCACCAGUGGCGAAGGCGGCUUGCCAGAACGCGCUCGACGGUGAGGGAUGAAAGCUGGGGGAGCAAACCGG
rnacentral:rRNA from 1 species